rnacentral:tRNA from 1 species
GCGGGAGUAGCUCAGCGGUAGAGCGCGUCCUUGCCAAGGACGAGGUCGAGGGUUCGAACCCCUUCUCCCGCUCCA